AGUGAACGCUGGCGGUAUGCCUAACACAUGCAAGUCGAACGGCAGCACAGUAAGAGCUUGCUCUUACGGGUGGCGAGGGGCGGACGGGUGAGGAAUAGAUCGGCAUCUUCUUUUUCGUGGGGGACAACGUAGGGCAACUGACGCUAAUACCGCAUAUGAUGUACGGGAGAAAGCAGUGGAGAUUGGGAGCUUUCGUGACUGAAUUAGCCGGAGUCGGAUUGGCUAGUUGGCGAGGUAAAGGCACACCAAGGCGACGAUCCGUAGCUGACCUGAGAGGAUGAUCAGCCACACUGGAACUGAGACACGGUCCAGACUCCUACGGGAGGCAGCAGUGGGGAAUCUUCGACAAUGGGCGAAAGCCUGACCCAGCCAUGCCGCGUGGGUGAAGAAGGCCUUCGGGUUGUAAAGCCCUUUUAUUGGGAAAGAAAAGCAGCAGAUUUAUACACCGCUGUUCUGACGGUACCCAAACAGUAAGCCCCGGCUAACUUCGUG
rnacentral:rRNA from 1 species